AUUGAACGCUGGCGGCAGGCCUAACACAUGCAAGUCGAGCGAGCGGCGGACGGGUGAGUAAUGUCUGGGAAACUGUCUGAUGGCGGGGGAUAACUACUGGAAACGGUUGCUAAUACCGCAUACCAUCAGAUGUGCCCAGAUGGGAUUAGAUAGUAGGUGGGGUAACGGCUCACCUAGGCGACGAUCCCUAGCUGGUCUUAGAGGAUGACCAGCCACAAUGGAACUGAGACAAGGUCCAGACUCCUACGGGAGGUAGCAGUGGGGAAUAUUGCACAAGGGGCGCAAGCCUGAUGCAGCCAUGCCGCGUGUGUGAAGAAGGCCUUCGGGUUGUAAAGCACUUUCAGCGGGGAGGCGUUACCCGCAGAAGAAGCACCGGCUAACUCCGUGCCAGCAGCCGCGGUAAUUC
rnacentral:rRNA from 1 species